GUGUCAGCAGCCGCGGUAAUACGUAGGAGGCAAGCGUUAUCCGGAUUUACUGGGCGUAAAGAGUACGUAGGCGGCUUUGUAAGUCGGAUGUAAAAUCUCCUGGCUUAACUGGGAGGGCGCAUCCGAUACUGCUUAGCUUGAGUGCAGCAGAGGGAAGUGGAAUUCCCGGUGUAGUGGUGAAAUGCGUAGAUAUCGGGAGGAACACCAGUGGCGAAGGCGGCUUUCUGGGCUGUAACUGACGCUGAGGUACGAAGGCGUGGGGAGCAAACAGGAUCAGAUACCCUGGUAGUCCACGCAGUAAACGAUGGGUACUAGGUAUAGGGCGUAUCGACCCUCUCUGUGCCGAAGCUAACGCUUUAAGUACCCCGCCUGGGGAGUACGGUCGCAAGACUAAAACUUAAAUGAAUUGACGGGG
rnacentral:rRNA from 1 species